rnacentral:lncRNA from 1 species
GAUCAAAAGGUUUAGUUUUUUGGCUAUGAUUUUGGUACAAGUUUUGUAUGGUUUGGAGUUUAUAUGAAGGAGAUACAAGAGCUCAAAGUUAAGGUAUUGAUUUGAGAACUACUGUCACUCUUUUUGGCACAACGUACACAUACAGACAGCAAUUGAGGAUCAGCGACCGCGACUAUAGAGAACAUUUUUGUGGCUACACUUUUUAUAUACUGCUUACUGGAUUCUAAGUUGAAAUAAAGGAGUUAUUGGAUUUUGAAGUCAAUGCAUGCAAUCUAAGAUUUAAGCUACACUCUCUA